CCAGAUCACCAAAGCAUAUCACUUAAAUAAAGACUUUAGUCCUGGAUGCCGCUCACAUUUGUGGAGCGUUGUUGGCAGCUGGUGAACAUGAGGAAAGUAAUGCUCUUUGUACAGCUAACAAUGGGACAAACAGGCAAUUCCAAUGUACGAUAAAGUCUUUAGGGACUAGGAAGCCUCACAACUACAGUUCCUGGAGCAUCCUGGUACUAUCACCUGCUUUAAAGGACCACUAUAGUGCCAUGAAAACAC